rnacentral:rRNA from 1 species
GGCUCAGGAUGAACGCUAGCUACAGGCUUAACACAUGCAAGUCGAGGGGAGACGAUAUUGGAAGCUUGCUUCCGAUAGGCGUCGACCGGCGCACGGGUGAGUAACGCGUAUCCAACCUGCCCAUCACUUGGGGAUAACCUUGCGAAAGUAAGACUAAUACCCAAUGACGUCUCUAGAAGACAUCUGAAGGAGAUUAAAGAUUUAUCGGUGAUGGAUGGGGAUGCGUCUGAUUAGCUUGUUGGCGGGGUAACGGCCCACCAAGGCGACGAUCAGUAGGGGUUCUGAGAGGAAGGUCCCCCACAUUGGAACUGAGACACGGUCCAAACUCCUACGGGAGGCAGCAGUGAGGAAUAUUGGUCAAUGGACGAGAGUCUGAACCAGCCAAGUAGCGUGCAGGAUGACGGCCCUAUGGGUUGUAAACUGCUUUUAUAAGGGAAUAAAGUGAGUCUCGUGAGACUUUUUGCAUGUACCUUAUGAAUAAGGACCGGCUAAUUCCGUG